CAGUAGCCGCGGUAAUACGUAGGUCCCGAGCGUUGUCCGGAUUUAUUGGGCGUAAAGCGAGCGCAGGCGGUUUGAUAAGUCUGAAGUUAAAGGCUGUGGCUCAACCAUAGUUCGCUUUGGAAACUGUCAAACUUGAGUGCAGAAGGGGAGAGUGGAAUUCCAUGUGUAGCGGUGAAAUGCGUAGAUAUAUGGAGGAACACCGGUGGCGAAAGCGGCUCUCUGGUCUGUAACUGACGCUGAGGCUCGAAAGCGUGGGGAGCGAACAGGAUUAGAUACCCGCGUAGUCCCUGUCUCUUAUACA
rnacentral:rRNA from 1 species